rnacentral:rRNA from 1 species
GGACCCGCACAAGCGGUGGAGCAUGUGGUUUAAUUCGACGCAACGCGAAGAACCUUACCAGGGCUUGACAUCCCGGGCUCGCCAUGGAAACAUGGUUUCCGGACUUUCGGGUCCGGCUCGGAGACAGGUGGUGCAUGGUUGUCGUCAGCUCGUGUCGUGAGAUGUUGGGUUAAGUCCCGCAACGAGCGCAACCCCUACUUUUAGUUGCCAUCAUUAAGUUGGGCACUCUAGAGGAACUGUCGGUGACAAACCGGAGGAAGGUGGGGAGUGACGUCAAAUCAUCAUGCCCUUUACUGUCCUGGGCUACACACGUGCUACAAUGGUCGGUACAGAGGGCGUGCGAAGCCGUGAGGUGGAGCGAAUCCCAAAAAGCCGGUCUCAGUUCGGAUUGCAGGCUGCAACCCGCCUGCAUGAAGUCGGAAUCGCUAGUAAUCGCGAGUCAGCAUAUCG